rnacentral:rRNA from 1 species
UGCCAGCCGCCGCGGUAAUACGGAGGGUGCAAGCGUUAAUCGGAAUUACUGGGCGUAAAGCGCGCGUAGGCGGUUUGUUAAGCGAGAUGUGAAAGCCCCGGGCUCAACCUGGGAACAGCAUUUCGAACUGGCAGGCUGGAGUACAGCAGAGGAGUGUGGAAUUUCUAGCGUAGCGGUGAAAUGCGUAGAUAUUAGAAGGAACACCAGUGGCGAAGGCGACACUCUGGGCUGAUACUGACGCUGAGGUGCGAAAGCGUGGGGAGCAAACAGGAUUAGAUA